GAGCCCAGACCCGAGAGAGCACAACACAUAGUGGGAAGCAGAGUGAUCGCCUCUUUGAUUUUAUCAGAAUCCACAGUGCCCCAGGAGACUCCAGAUGAGAGAACUGGGAGGCCCUCGGCUGAGGGCAAGAACUGAGAAAUAAUUUGCUUAAAGUCUCACAGCCACCAGUUAGAGGCAGAGGUUGGAUUCAAGCCCCCAUCCUGCAGGACUCUGAAGACCUCAGUUCUUUGCUACAAA